GAUGAAGAACGUAGCGAAAUGCGAUAAGUAAUGUGAAUUGCAGAAUUCAGUGAAUCAUCGAAUCUUUGAACGCACAUUGCGCCCGCCAGUAUUCUGGCGGGCAUGCCUGUUCGAGCGUCAUUUCAACCAUCAAGCCCCAGGCUUGUGUUGGGGACCUGCGGCUGCCGCAGGCCCUGAAAACCAGUGGCGGGCUCGCUGUCACACCGGGCGUAGUAGAUUUUAUCUCGCUCAGGGCGUGCUGCGGGUUCCGGCCGUUAAAAAGGCUUUUUUACCCAAGGUUGACCUCGGAUCAGGUAGGAAGACCCGCUGAACUUAAGCAUAUCAAUAAGCGGAGGA
rnacentral:misc_RNA from 1 species